GACAGAGGUUGCAAGCGUUGUUCGGAAUUACUGGGCAUAAAGCGCACGUAGGCGGUCCGCUAAGUCAUGUGUGAAAUCCCCCGGCUCAACCGGGGAAUGGCGCCUGAUACUGGCGGACUCGAGAUCGGUAGGGGUGAGUGGAACUCCAGGUGGAGCGGUGAAAUGCGUAGAUAUCUGGAGGAACACCGGUGGCGAAGGCGGCAUCCUGGACCAACACUGACGCUGAGGAGCGAAAGCCAGGGGAGCAAACGGG
rnacentral:rRNA from 1 species